ACUCCCUACGGGAGGCAGCAGUGGGGAAUAUUGGGCAAUGGGCGCAAGCCUGACCCAGCAACGCCGCGUGAAGGAAGAAGGCUUUCGGGUUGUAAACUUCUUUUAUUCGGGACGAAGAAAGUGACGGUACCGAAUGAAUAAGCCACGGCUAACUACGUGCCAGCAGCCGCGGUAAUACGUAGGUGGCAAGCGUUAUCCGGAUUUAUUGGGUGUAAAGGGCGUGUAGGCGGUAUGUCAAGUCAAGGGUGAAAUCCCCGCACUCA
rnacentral:rRNA from 1 species